rnacentral:piRNA from 1 species
UACAGGUCUCAAGACUUUGUAUGGAGUGUG